AGUAUAGUCUGUCUAAGAUCGAAGUAAGGAGUUUGUGAGCUACACUCAGUAAGAGAAUCGUGUUUUGGUAUAUAUUCAUAUUCAAUUAUCUACUCAGUAGUGCUUUAUCUUUGAAGUGAUCUUUCAGUUUAUUUUUGUGUAUAAAAUUUAUUCUCGUUUAGAGAUGAUACUAACUUAAAAGCUUGAACACACAAGCUAUAUACUGUGUAUGUGUACUCAAUCUGAAAUGUCUAACAUCAAAUACCUAGGCUCCGAUUAUCUACUGCUUUAAAGUUUAGAUUGUCACAAAAGUAAACCAUGUCUAUACUUCACCAAAUUAAAGAACUUAUUAUGUACAUGUAUAUAUAUUUUCUGUUAUCAGAGCCACCUGAAAUACAUUUAUCCAUAUUUUCUUCUCACUUGAGUUUCUCUGAAUCAGACCGGUGUGUUUAUAAUACAGCACUGUGAGAACAAUGCUUUAUUUGGAAUUAUUUUAUUAAGUGUUUCGGUUGUUAGAUGUUGCCUGGAAGAGUUUAAAACAGAAAGUACCUUAAGAUAACUGAAAAAAAAGUGUUUGAAAGUUUUAAAGAUAUGUGACUUUAAUAUAAAAAUUUUUUUAAAAACUAGCAAAUAUUUAAAUUAGGUGAUUAUUAUGAAUUGGUGUGAUGUGAGCGACAGUGCUGUAUUGUGAACAUGCUGGUGAGUUUCUGACUCUAUAUAGACCUCUGUGAUUAUCACUUUGUAUCAUCGUAGUGAAGAGCACAUGUAUUAACACUCGUUUCAUUCACUUCUUGUUGUUACAAGUCAUUGGGGGAAUCUGUCGUUACUGUAAAACUAAAGAACAAAAAAAAUAUUCUCAAGCAGGAUUUGUCGUUUGUCCAAACUGUUGUUGAUAUGUACGAGAUGCAAUAUACAAUCCUUUAAUUCAUGGAGAGAUUUUUUUUUCUAUUUCAUAAACAUUUUGUCAGCUUGGUAAUUCUGUGAACAAAAAAAAUCUGUGCAAUUUCAUUAGUUCUUUUUUUUUAAUGAAGAUUUCAUUCUGAAUUCGACAACAAAACUAGUUUUAUAAAUGUCUGACGUAUGAGAGGUGUCAUUUAAUGUGAUGAAGAAUAAAUAUAUUUAUACAAGU
rnacentral:sRNA from 1 species